CUGACGAGGAGCUUGCUCCUUUGACGUUAGCGGCGGACGGGUGAGUAACACGUGGGUAACCUACCUAUAAGACUGGAAUAACUCCGGGAAACCGGGGCUAAUGCCGGAUAACAUAUCGAACCGCAUGGUUCGAUAGUGAAAGACGGUCUUGCUGACACUUAUAGAUGGACCCGCGCCGCAUUAGCUAGUUGGUGAGGUAACGGUUCACCAAGGCAACGAUACGUAGCCGACCUGAAAGGGGGAUCGGCCACACUGGAACUGANACACGGUCCAUACUCCUACGGGAGGCAGCAGUAGGGAAUCUUCCGCAAUGGGCGAAAGCCUGACGGAGCAACGCCGCGUGAGUGAUGAAGGUCUUCGGAUCGUAAAGCUCUGUUGUUAGGGAAGAACAAAUGUGUAAGUAACUAUGCACAUCUUGACGGUACCUAACCAGAAAGCCACGGCUAACUACGUGCCAGCAGCCGCGGUAAU
rnacentral:rRNA from 1 species